UAGACCGGACGAAUUCCGAUUGCGUUAUUGAAAGGCAAUGUUUUCUUAUGGAACAACUACAGUGUGGUACACGCGUAAUACAAACUAGUGUAAUAAACAAAUUAACAGGAUUAGCCUAAACGUGGUGCCUCGAGUUUUUCAUAGCAAUAUUCAAUCGGAUGCGUGUGCAUUGCCCUUUUGUUCGCAGUAGGCAAAUGCUCCACACUAUCGACAUCUCUUAUCUUUUGUAAAUAUGUCAUUGUAGUCGGCCUAUGCUAGGUCCAGUGUGUUUCAUAGCUGAGAUAGUGCAGCGACAGGCAGGCAGCUGCGAAUCACAUUUCACUUUAGCUGAACUUCUCAAAUCUAUUUGAGCUAUGGCAGAGGGAACACAGUGAGUCUGUCCGGUCUACUAAUAGUCCGGCCCCGCCGCGGAUGUGGCAAGCGAGGACAUGCUGGUAGCCUAUUCUUUAUGAUUAUUUCUUAAAGAGCCGGCGAACGCAACACAGCUCAGUUUGCUAUGGAUGCUUAUUCUUUGGCCGAAGUUUAUAUAGGCCUACUUUGCUACACUGUUACAAUGUAUCGACACAGAGCACGGAUCACUACGUAGCUUAGUCGUCUUUUCUCACACUCGCAUCAUUGUUGCCGCUGUGCAGCGAGGACACGAUAGUUACGGGGGUAGACAGACGAAACACAGCGUGACUGUCGCUCAGGACUUGAACUUGAACUUCAUUUUGAAAUCGGCGUCCAUGUGUGAUCGACGUUAGUCUUCGUUUUUUCCAUAAGCAAUAUUCAUUAUUCUGUGAUUCAUUGACAAACUACGAGGAGAAAUGAGGAAAAUACAGAUGUUUUGAAGACAAUAAACUAAACUGCUGGCUGCUCCACCUCGGACAUUGAAGAAGUGGACAUUUCAUAUCAACAGAAAGUAAAAGAAUUGAAGAAUGCAUGUUAUAGAUGUUGUUAUAACAGGAUAACUACAUUAUGGUUCUGGAUCUACUACCCUGGAUUUCAACAUCCUGUAUUUCGCAUCCAUAGUUGUUGUGUGCUGCUGACUGUCUAACCAUGUCCGAUUUGAGGUUGAUUGGAUCUGGGGGGCAAUGUAUAGAGACGGAACAGACCCCGGAUUAAAAGAUGGUGUGAACCUGAGAUGGGUCAAGGAGGAACAGGAGGCAAAAUAUGAGAUCGGAUAUGGACUCAUUGCAUGCUUCUACACCUGCAUUGCUUGCUGUUUGGGGUUUUAGGCUGGGUUUCUGUACAGCACUUUGUGACAUCACCUGAUGUAAGAAGGGCUUUAUCAAUAAAUGUGAUUGAUUGAUUGCAUGCAAUUCACCUUUUCAUGUCUGUGCUCUCACAUGAGGAUCACGUUAAGGGCCACUCGGACUGUUCAUCAGAGAGAAACCAACUGUCCUUUGGUGUGAGGUAGUAGGUUGUAUAGUUUUAGGGUCACACCCAAGCUGUCAGAUGACUAUACAACAUACUGUCUUUCCUGAAGUGGCUGUAAUAUCAUCACAGACUCUCCACAUGAAGAACCCUCGUCAAAAGCUGCAAUGAAAAUGUACCUUUCGUGCCUACGUUAUUACCAUUAUUACAAUAUUAGUACAUCAUUGUAUUAUUAUUCAUUUCAUAUUUGAACAGGAAAUGGGAUUUCACAUUUUCUGGUUGGACUCCAUCUCUAACCAACUGGUCAAUCGGAUUGUGACCGGGUCGAUGGUUCAUGGUGUUCGCACAGAGUGAGGUAGUAGGUUGUGUGGUUUCAGGGUUGUUAUUUUGCCCCAUCAGGAGUUAACUGUACAACCUACUGCCUUCCCUGAAGGGCAGCAACACAACGCUACGCGCAUGGCCACAAUGGAGCUCACUGUCUACUGUGCUGCUUUUAAGUGGAGCGAAAAGUAAAGAAGGUAAGCUAUCUCAAAUCAUUGCCUUGGUACUUUUUUAUUUAUUUAACUUAACUAGGCAAGUCAGUUAAGAACAAAUUCUUGUUUUCAAUGACAGCCUAGGAACAGUGGGUUAACUGCCUUGGUUGGGGAUAGGACAACCGAUUUUCACCUUGUCAGCUCAGGGAUUUGAUCUUGCAACCUUUUGGUUACUAGACGAACGCUCUAACCACCUAGGAUACCUACCAAAAUGUGCUAAACAGAGUAUUUUAUGUAUUGGAAUGUGGAAAUAGACCUAUUGUUUAUAUAUCUUCAAUUUUGUAAUAAUCCAUACUGUACUAAAAGUCAUAAUAAAAAGUGAGUAGUCUUAGUCA